UUAGGUAGUCACGGGUGGGAGGUUGGGCGCCCGGAUGGCAGCCCGCACUCG
rnacentral:rRNA from 1 species